rnacentral:rRNA from 1 species
GAGGCGAACCGGGGGAACUGAAACAUCUAAGUACCCCGAGGAAAAGAAAUCAACCGAGAUUCCGAAAGUAGCGGCGAGCGAAAUUGGACUAGCCCUUAAGCUUUACACGCGUUAGACGAACGGUCUGGAAAGUCCGACGAUACAGGGUGAUAGUCCCGUAGUUGACGACGUGUGUUCAGUGAAAUCGAGUAGGGCGGGACACGUGAUAUCCUGUCUGAAUAUGGGGGGACCAUCCUCCAAGGCUAAAUACUACUGACUGACCGAUAGUGAACCAGUACCGUGAGGGAAAGGCGAAAAGAACCCCUGUGAGGGGAGUGAAAUAGAACCUGAAACCGUGUACGUACAAGCAGUAGGAGCAGGCUUGUCCUGUGACUGCGUACCUUUUGUAUAAUGGGUCAGCGACUUAUAUUCAGUGGCAAGGUUAACCAUCUAGGGGAGCCGUAGGGAAACCGAGUCUUAACUGGGCGUUCAGUCUCUGGAUAUAGACCCGAAACCAGGUGAUCUAGCCAUGGGCAGGUUGAAGGUUGAGUAACAUCAACUGGAGGACCGAACCGACUAAUGUUGAAAAAUUAGCGGAUGACUUGUGGCUAGGGGUGAAAGGCCAAUCAAACCUGGAGAUAGCUGGUUCUCCCCGAAAGCUAUUUAGGUAGCGCCUCGGACGAAUACUACUGGGGGUAGAGCACUGUUAAGGCUAGGGGGUCAUCCCGACUUACCAACCCUUUGCAAACUCCGAAUACCAGUAAGUACUAUCCGGGAGACACACGGCGGGUGCUAACGUCCGUCGUGGAGAGGGAAACAACCCAGACCGCCAGCUAAGGUCCCAAAUUACUACUAAGUGGGAAACGAUGUGGGAAGGCUCAGACAGCCAGGAUGUUGGCUUAGAAGCAGCCAUCAUUUAAAGAAAGCGUAAUAGCUCACUGGUCGAGUCGGCCUGCGCGGAAGAUGUAACGGGGCUAAGUAGUAAACCGAAGCUGCGGCAAUAUACUUUUGUAUAUUGGGUAGGGGAGCGUUCUGUAAGCGGUUGAAGGUGUGUGGUAACGCAUGCUGGACGUAUCAGAAGUGCGAAUGCUGACAUGAGUAACGAUAAAGGGGGUGAAAAACCUCCUCGCCGGAAGACCAAGGGUUCCUGUCCAACGUUAAUCGGGGCAGGGUAAGUCGACCCCUAAGGCGAGGCCGAAAGGCGUAGUCGAUGGGAAACGGGUUAAUAUUCCCGUACUUCUUACAAUUGCGAUGGGGGGACGGAGAAGGCUAGGUGGGCCUGGCGACGGUUGUCCAGGUUCAAGUGCGUAGGCUGAGAGAUUAGGUAAAUCCGGUUUCUCUUAAGGCUGAGACACGACGUCGAGCAUCUACGGAUGUGAAGUCAUUGAUGCCAUGCUUCCAGGAAAAGCCUCUAAGCUUCAGAUUGUAAGGAAUCGUACCCCAAACCGACACAGGUGGUCGGGUAGAGAAUACCAAGGCGCUUGAGAGAACUCGGGUGAAGGAACUAGGCAAAAUGGUACCGUAACUUCGGGAGAAGGUACGCUCUCGACGGUGAAGUCCCUUGCGGAUGGAGCUAUUGAGAGUCGCAGAUACCAGGUGGCUGCAACUGUUUAUUAAAAACACAGCACUGUGCAAAAUCGUAAGAUGACGUAUACGGUGUGACGCCUGCCCGGUGCCGGAAGGUUAAUUGAUGGGGUUAGACUUCGGUCGAAGCUCUUGAUCGAAGCCCCGGUAAACGGCGGCCGUAACUAUAACGGUCCUAAGGUAGCGAAAUUCCUUGUCGGGUAAGUUCCGACCUGCACGAAUGGCGUAAUGAUGGCCACGCUGUCUCCACCCGAGACUCAGUGAAAUUGAAAUCGCUGUGAAGAUGCAGUGUACCCGCGGCUAGACGGAAAGACCCCGUGAACCUUUACUACAGCUUGGCACUGAACAUUGACCCUACAUGUGUAGGAUAGGUGGGAGGCUUUGAAGCACGUACGCCAGUAUGUGUGGAGCCGUCCUUGAAAUACCACCCUUGUAGUGUUGAUGUUCUAACGUCGACCCCUAAUCGGGGUUGCGGACAGUGCCUGGUGGGUAGUUUGACUGGGGCGGUCUCCUCCCAAAGAGUAACGGAGGAGCACGAAGGUGGGCUAAUCACGGUUGGACAUCGUGAGGUUAGUGCAAUGGCAUAAGCCCGCUUGACUGCGAGAAUGACAAUUCGAGCAGGUGCGAAAGCAGGUCAUAGUGAUCCGGUGGUUCUGAAUGGAAGGGCCAUCGCUCAACGGAUAAAAGGUACUCCGGGGAUAACAGGCUGAUACCGCCCAAGAGUUCAUAUCGACGGCGGUGUUUGGCACCUCGAUGUCGGCUCAUCACAUCCUGGGGCUGAAGUCGGUCCCAAGGGUAUGGCUGUUCGCCAUUUAAAGUGGUACGCGAGCUGGGUUUAGAACGUCGUGAGACAGUUCGGUCCCUAUCUGCCGUGGGCGUUGGAAGAUUGAAGGGGGCUGCUCCUAGUACGAGAGGACCGGAGUGGACGAACCUCUGGUGUUCGGGUUGUGUCGCCAGACGCAUUGCCCGGUAGCUAAGUUCGGAAUCGAUAACCGCUGAAAGCAUCUAAGCGGGAAGCGAGCCCUGAGAUGAGUCUUCCCUGAUACUUUAAGUAUCCUAAAGGGUUGUCGGAGACUACGACGUUGAUAGGUCAGGUGUGUAAGUGCUGUGAGGCAUUGAGCUAACUGAUACUAAUUGCCCGUGAGGCUUAACCAUACAACACCCAAGGGGUUU